rnacentral:rRNA from 1 species
AUGAUGAUUCUAGUGUUUCUCCAAAGAAGGUUUCAGACAAGACCGUGUCAGGCACCGACUGCUCUGAUGGGGUGGAGCCAACUGAAACCUCAGUCAUCCACUGGCAUUGUGGUUUCUGAUGCUGAGCAGGGUAAGACAGCUGGAGAUAUCAUUUUGGAGAUAGAUCCCGUCGAGACUGCUGUUGAGACUGAUGGUAGUGCUGCUGCAGGCCCGGAGAGGACUCCUGCAGCAGAGCCAUCAGUUGUUGUUGAUGGUGGUUCUCUAUCUGGGCCAACUGCUCCAACUGCUCCAACAUUUUUUGUUGUUUUAGAUUCUCUAGCUACUCCAAAUGUUGUUGUUGUCCUCACUGAUGAUGCUGCAAUGUCUACAGGAGAUGACGAUGAAGAGACCGAAAGCGAUAGCGUGGGAGAGGAGGCUGAUCAUUCCAGUGCUGCGACUGGAAUAGGCAAGAAUCCAUAA